rnacentral:rRNA from 1 species
AAGCCGAGCGGUAUUUGUUCUUCGGAACAGAGAGAGCGGCGUACGGGUGCGGAACACGUGUGCAACCUGCCUUUAUCUGGGGGAUAGCCUUUCGAAAGGAAGAUUAAUACCCCAUAAUAUAUUGAAUGGCAUCAUUCGAUAUUGAAAACUCCGGUGGAUAGAGAUGGGCACGCGCAAGAUUAGAUAGUUGGUGAGGUAACGGCUCACCAAGUCUGCGAUCUUUAGGGGGCCUGAGAGGGUGAUCCCCCACACUGGUACUGAGACACGGACCAGACUCCUACGGGAGGCAGCAGUGAGGAAUAUUGGACAAUGGGUGAGAGCCUGAUCCAGCCAUCCCGCGUGAAGGACGACGGCCCUAUGGGUUGUAAACUUCUUUUGUAUAGGGAUAAACCUACUCUCGUGAGAGUAGCUGAAGGUACUAUACGAAUAAGCACCGGCUAACUCCGUGCCAGCAGCCGCGGUAAUACGGAGGGUGCAAGCGUUAUCCGGAUUUAUUGGGUUUAAAGGGUCCGUAGGCGGAUCUGUAAGUCAGUGGUGAAAUCUCACAGCUUAACUGUGAAACUGCCAUUGAUACUGCAGGUCUUGAGUGUUAUUGAAGUAGCUGGAAUAAGUAGUGUAGCGGUGAAAUGCAUAGAUAUUACUUAGAACACCAAUUGCGAAGGCAGGUUACUAAGCAACAACUGACGCUGAUGGACGAAAGCGUGGGGAGCGAACAGGAUUAGAUACCCUGGUAGUCCACGCCGUAAACGAUGCUAACUCGUUUUUGGGGCUUCGGCUUCAGAGACUAAGCGAAAGUGAUAAGUUAGCCACCUGGGGAGUACGAACGCAAGUUUGAAACUCAAAGGAAUUGACGGGGGCCCGCACAAGCGGUGGAUUAUGUGGUUUAAUUCGAUGAUACGCGAGGAACCUUACCAAGGCUUAAAUGGGAAAUGACAGGUUUAGAAAUAGACUUUUCUUCGGACAUUUUUCAAGGUGCUGCAUGGUUGUCGUCAGCUCGUGCCGUGAGGUGUUAGGUUAAGUCCUGCAACGAGCGCAACCCCUGUCACUAGUUGCCAUCAUUAAGUUGGGGACUCUAGUGAGACUGCCUACGCAAGUAGAGAGGAAGGUGGGGAUGACGUCAAAUCAUCACGGCCCUUACGCCUUGGGCCACACACGUAAUACAAUGGCCAGUACAGAGGGCAGCUACACAGCGAUGUGAUGCAAAUCUCGAAAGCUGGUCUCAGUUCGGAUUGGAGUCUGCAACUCGACUCUAUGAAGCUGGAAUCGCUAGUAAUCGCGCAUCAGCCAUGGCGCGGUGAAUACGUUCCCGGGCCUUGUACACACCGCCCGUCAAGCCAUGGAAGUCUGGGGUACCUGAAGUCGGUGACCGUAAUAGGAGC